rnacentral:rRNA from 1 species
UUUGAUCAUGGCUCAGGAUUAACGCUGGCGGCAUGCUAAAUACAUGCAAAUCGAACGAAGCCUUUUUGGCUUAGUGGUGAACGGGUGAGUAACACGUAUCCAAUCUACCCUUAAGUUUGGGAUAACUAGUCGAAAGAUUAGCUAAUACCGGAUAAUAACAUUCACUUGCAUGAGUGAAUGUGGAAAGUUGCGUUUGCAACGCUUUUGGAUGAGGGUGCGACGUAUCAGAUAGUUGGUGAGGUAACGGCUCACCAAGUCAUUGACGCGUAGCUGUACUGAGAGGUAGAACAGCCACAAUGGGACUGAGACACGGCCCAUACUUCUACGGGAGGCAGCAGUAGGGAAUUUUUCACAAUGGGCGAAAGCCUUAUGAAGCAAUGCCGCGUGAACGAUGAAGGUCUAUAAGAUUGUAAAGUUCUUUUAUUUGGGAAGAACCACUAAAAUAGGAAAUGAUUUUAGUUUGACUGUACCAUUUGAAUAAGUAUCGGCUAACUAUGUGCCAGCAGCCGCGGUAAUACAUAGGAUGCAAGCGUUAUCCGGAUUUACUGGGCGUAAAACGAGCGCAGGCGGAUUUGUAAGUUUGGUAUGAAAUCUAGAUGCUUAACGUCUAGCUGUAUCAAAAACUACGAAUCUAGAGUGUAGCAGAGAGUUGGGGAACUCCAUGUGGAGCGGUAAAAUGCGUAGAUAUAUGGAAGAACACCGGUGGCGAAGGCGCCAACUUGGACUAUUACUGACGCUUAGGCUCGAAAGUGUGGGGAGCAAAUAGGAUUAGAUACCCUAGUAGUCCACACCGUAAACGAUCAUCAUUAAAUGUCGGCUCGCUUAUGAGUCGGUGUUGUAGCUAACGCAUUAAAUGAUGUGCCUGGGUAGUACAUUCGCAAGAAUGAAACUCAAACGGAAUGAGCGGGGACCCGCACAAGUGGUGGAGCAUGUUGCUUAAUUUGACAAUACACGUAGAACCUUACCUAGGUUGACAUCUAUUGCAAUGCUAUAGAAAUAUAGCGGAGGUUAACA